rnacentral:rRNA from 1 species
GAUGAACGCUGACAGGAUGCUUAACACAUGCAAGUCUUUGGCGAAUCUGUGCUUGCACAGGCUAGCCAAGGCGGACGGGUGAGUAACGCGUAAAGAACUUGCCCUGCAGACAGGGAUAACAGACGGAAACGACUGAUAACACCUGAUACAGUUGCCGGCACGCAUGUGCCUGGCAAUGAAAAGAGAUGCUGCAGGAGAGCUUUGCGUCCUAUUAGCUUGUUGGUGAGGUGACGGCUCACCAAGGCGAUGAUAGGUAGCCGGCCUGAGAGGGUGAACGGCCACAAGGGGACUGAGAUACGGCCCUUACUCCUACGGGAGGCAGCAGUGGGGAAUAUUGGACAAUGGGGGCAACCCUGAUCCAGCAAUUCUGUGUGCACGAAGAAGGUUUUCGGAUUGUAAAGUGCUUUCAGCAGGGAAGAAGAAAGUGACGGUACCUGCAGAAGAAGCGACGGCUAAAUACGUG